GACGAACGCUGGCGGCGUGCUUAACACAUGCAAGUCGAACGGAAAGGCCCUGCUUUUGUGGGGUGCUCGAGUGGCGAACGGGUGAGUAACACGUGAGUAACCUGCCCUUGACUUUGGGAUAACUUCAGGAAACUGGGGCUAAUACCGGAUAGGAGCUCCUGCUGCAUGGUGGGGGUUGGAAAGUUUCGGCGGUUGGGGAUGGACUCGCGGCUUAUCAGCUUGUUGGUGGGGUAGUGGCUUACCAAGGCUUUGACGGGUAGCCGGCCUGAGAGGGUGACCGGCCACAUGGGGACUGAGAUACGGCCCAGACCCCUACGGGAGGCAGCAGUGGGGAAUAUUGCACAAGGGGCGGAAGCCUGAUGCAGCAACGCCGCGUGCGGGAUGACGGCCUUCGGGUUGUAAACCGCUUUCGCCUGUGACGAAGCGUGAGUGACGGUAAUGGGUAAAGAAGCACCGGCUAACUACGU
rnacentral:rRNA from 1 species